rnacentral:rRNA from 1 species
GGGGGGGGGGGGGGGGGGGGGGGGGGGGGGCGGGGCGGGCGGGGGGGGGGGGCUUGGGGGGGGUGGUCGGGGGGCGGGCGGGGGAGUGGCACGGGCGUGACCGGCCCUUGGCUUUGGGAUGACUUCAGGGAACUGGGGCUACUGCCGGGUAGGAGCGCCUGCUGCCGGGUGGGGGUUGGCACGUUUCGGCGGUUGGGGAUGGACUCGCGGCUUCUCAGCUGGUUGGUGGGGUAGUGGCUUACCAAGGCUUUGACGGGUAGCCGGCCUGAGAGGGUGACCGGCCACAUUGGGACUGAGAGACGGCCCAGACGCCUACGGGAGGCAGCAGUGGGGAAUAUUGCACAAUGGGCGGAAGCCUGAUGCAGCAACGCCGCGUGCGGGAUGACGGCCUUCGGGUUGUAAACCGCUUUCGCCUGUGACGAAGCGUGAGUGACGGUAAUGGGUAAAGAAGCACCGGCUAACUACGUG